rnacentral:rRNA from 1 species
AUUGAACGCUGGCGGCAGGCCUAACACAUGCAAGUCGAACGAGUGGCGGACGGGUGAGUAAUGUCUGGGCAACUGCCUGAUGGAGGGGGAUAACUACUGGAACCGGUAGCUAAUACCGCAUACCAUCGGAUGUGCCCAGAUGGGAUUAGCUAGGUGGUGGGUUAACGGCUCACCUAGGCGACGAUCCCUAGCUGGUCUGAGAGGAUGACCAGCCACACUGGAACGGGGACACGGUCCAGAUGCCUACGGGAGGCAGCAGUGGGGAAUAUUGCACAAUGGGCGCAAGCCUGAUGCAGCCAUGCCGCGUGUAUGAAGAAGGCCUUCGGGUUGUAAAGUACUUUCAGCGGGGAGGCGUUACCCGCAGAAGAAGCACCGGCUAACUCCGUGCCAGCAGCCGCGGUAAUAC